rnacentral:rRNA from 1 species
AACCCUUGACAUCCUGUGCUAACCCGAGAGAUCGGGCGUUCCCUUCGGGGACGCAGUGACAGGUGCUGCAUGGCUGUCGUCAGCUCGUGUCGUGAGAUGUUCGGUUAAGUCCGGCAACGAGCGCAACCCACAUCUUUAGUUGCCAUCAGUUCGGCUGGGCACUCUAAAGAAACUGCCCGUGAUAAGCGGGAGGAAGGUGUGGAUGACGUCAAGUCCUCAUGGCCCUUACGGGUUGGGCUACACACGUGCUACAAUGGCAGUGACAAUGGGUUAAUCCCAAAAAGCUGUCUCAGUUCGGAUUGGGGUCUGCAACUCGACCCCAUGAAGUCGGAAUCGCUAGUAAUCGCGUAACAGCAUGACGCGGUGAAUACGUUCCCGGGCC